AUUGAACGCUGGCGGUAUGCUUAACACAUGCAAGUCGAACGAGUGGCGGACGGGUGAGUAAUGCAUAGGAAUCUACCUUUUAGUCUAGGAUAACUACCCGAAAGGGUGGCUAAUUCUUGAUGCUAAGUGCUGAGCCUAUGUGGGAUUAGGUAGUUGGUGGGGUAACGGCUCCCCAAGGCGACGAUCGCUAGCUGGUUUGAGGGGAUGAUCAGCCACACUGGGACUGAGACACGGGCCAGACUCCUACGGGAGGCAGCAAUGGGGAAUAUUGGACAAUGGGCGAAAGCCUGAUCCAGCAAUACCGCGUGUGUGAAGAAGGCCCUAGGGUUGUAAAGCACUUUUGUUAGGGAGAUGUUACCUAAAGAAUAAGCACCGGCUAACUCCGUGCCAGCAGCCGCGGUAAUUC
rnacentral:rRNA from 1 species